AUCAGAUCUUUUGUAUCGAAAAUACUUGUUUAUUCUCCAAUUUUUGUUAACAUUUGAUGCAAGUACCGUUUGUUUGAUCAGUAAAGACACUUUCCACUGGAGGUGUACUUUCUAUCUAAUUUAUGAAACUUCUAUCCCCUGAAUGCCUUUAUACUCUUUGGCUAUGAAAUAUCUUUUAUUGGAAGGAGUCUCGUGACCAGACAUUUGUGGCAGGAUCAUAUUGUAGCUGUGUAGGUGUGGUCAUUAACAAGGUAAUUGAAACUAAAGAUGUCAUCACUUCCUUAGAACUAGUCAUUACAAUUGCUAUAACUGUGGGUACGAAACUUUUUUUUAUAGUUUUAAAACUUAUUUGAUGUGGUCAGAAAAUUGGUUAUAAAGCUGUUAGGUAUCAGGUGGCUAGUAUUGUAUUUCAUGGUUGGAGCAUCGUCGACAUUUGUAGACAUUGUAUGCAAGACAAUUUGUGGUUAGUGAAGCGUGGUUAGUAGCAAUUGUGGACAAUUUCUUCUUAUGAGGACGUCUUUUAUAAUUAGUCACCUGAAUAUCUGAAAAGCUUCAAAGGUCCACAAGAUAGUAUCUUUAAUUUUGCAAUCGUCAGAGAAAGAAGCAAUACCUUUGUCGGUGUGAGCUCACGGCAAGCUCCAAGCUUAAGUCUCUUCAGGUUACGACAUCAGGGAGAUAUAAUGGCUAACGUGUCGUCGUUGAUGCUCACGGAUCUACAGUCGCCUUUGAAUGAAAGCUUCAAGCGAAUUAAUAAAAGAGAGAAGUGAUGGAUGUCAUCAGAGAGAGAGAGAGAGAGAGAGUACAAAGUAGGUCGAAAUGUAAAUGAAAGUUAAAAAUUAACCUUCAAUGUAAUAUUUUCGAGAUCAAAUGAUGGGAGACACUCUUUCAUGUGUUGCAUUGUUUCAAUACAAUAAAGUCAGC
rnacentral:lncRNA from 1 species